rnacentral:rRNA from 1 species
UACGUAGGGUCCGAGCGUUGUCCGGAAUUACUGGGCGUAAAGAGCUCGUAGGUGGUUUGUCGUGUUGUUCGUGAAAACUCACAGCUCAACUGUGGGCGUGCGGGCGAUACGGGCAGACUAGAGUACUGCAGGGGAGACUGGAAUUCCUGGUGUAGCGGUGAAAUGCGCAGAUAUCAGGAGGAACACCGGUGGCGAAGGCGGGUCUCUGGGCCGAUACUGACGCUGAGGAGCGAAAGCUAGGGGGAGCAAACAGG